GACGAACGCUGGCGGCGUGCCUAAUACAUGCAAGUCGAACGAGAGCGACCGGUGCUUGCACUGGUCAAUCUAGUGGCGAACGGGCGAGUAACACGUGGGUAACCUGCCCAUCAGAGGGGGAUAACAUCCGGAAACGGAUGCUAAAACCGCAUAGGUCUUCGAACCGCAUGGUUUGAAGAGGAAAAGAGGCGCAAGCUUCUGCUGAUGGAUGGACCCGCGGUGCAUUAGCUAGUUGGUGAGGUAACGGCUCACCAAGGCCGUGAUGCAUAGCCGACCUGAGAGGGUGAUCGGCCACAUUGGGACUGAGACACGGCCCAAACUCCUACGGGAGGCAGCAGUAGGGAAUCUUCCGCAAUGGACGCAAGUCUGACGGAGCAACGCCGCGUGAGUGAAGAAGGUUUUCGGAUCGUAAAACUCUGUUGUUAGAGAAGAACAAGUGCUAGAGUAACUGUUAGCGCCUUGACGGUAUCUAACCAGAAAGCCACGGCUAACUACGUG
rnacentral:rRNA from 1 species